rnacentral:tRNA from 1 species
GGAGGAGUCGCCUAGAGGACCAUGGCAGCGGUUUGCUAAACCGCCGAGGGGGUAAAAACCUCUCGCGUGGGUUCGAAUCCCACCUCCUCCGCCA